rnacentral:rRNA from 1 species
AUGUAAAUUUUUGUGUGAAUUUUUGUUUAUUUAAAUAAUUGACAAAUUUUAUUUUUAGCCGCAGUAAUUAGUAUUAUUCAUUAAGUAACCUUAGAAAUAGAAAUUUUAUAGAGCAUUGGCUAAAUUUGUGCCAGCAGCCGCGGUUAUACUAAUAAUGCAAAUAAAUUAGUUUCGGUAAAAGUUAAAUUUAUUAUUUUAGAAUACAGGUAAGUUUAUUAGGUGAAAUUUUAAGCUUAUGAAUUUUUAAAAAUUAAGUGAUUGAGGCUUGUAAAUUUUAAUUAGAAACUAGGAUUAGAUACCCUAUUAUUUAAAAUGUAAUUUUUUACCAAGGUAGUAUUAGUUAUGUUCUUGGAACUUAAAAAAUUUGGCGGUAUUUUAGUCUAUUCAGAGGAACCUGUUCUGUAAUCGAUAAUCCACGAUGGACCUUACUUGAGUUAGUAAAUCAGUUUAUAUACCGUCGUUAUUAGAAUAUUUUAUUAGGAUAAUAAUUUUCAGUAUUUUUUAUAAAAAUUUAUAUCAGAUCAAGGUGUAGCUAAUGCUUAAGUAGAAAUGGGUUACAAUAAAUUUAUUUAAACGGAUUAAUAUUUGCAAUGUUUUAUGAAGGUGGAUUUGAUAGUAAAAUUAAAAAGAUAAUUAAUUUGAUUUUAGCUCUAAAAUAUGCACACAUCGCCCGUCGCUCUUACUAUUAAGGUAAGAUAAGUCGUAACAUAGUAGAUGUA